AUUGAACGCUGGCGGCAUGCUUUACACAUGCAAGUCGAACGGCAGCGCGGGCUUCGGCCUGGCGGCGAGUGGCGAACGGGUGAGUAAUGCAUCGGAACGUGCCCAGUAGUGGGGGAUAGCCCGGCGAAAGCCGGAUUAAUACCGCAUACGACCUGAGGGUGAAAGCGGGGGACCGAAAGGCCUCGCGCUAUUGGAGCGGCCGAUGUCGGAUUAGCUAGUUGGUGGGGUAAAGGCUUACCAAGGCGACGAUCCGUAGCUGGUCUGAGAGGACGACCAGCCACACUGGGACUGAGACACGGCCAAGACUCCUACGGGAGGCAGCAGUGGGGAAUGUUGGACAAUGGGGGCAACCCUGAUCCAGCCAUGCCGCGUGCGGGAAGAAGGCCUUCGGGUUGUAAACCGCUUUUGUUCGGGAAGAAAUCCUCUGGGCUAAUACCCCGGGGGGAUGACGGUACCGGAAGAAUAAGCACCGGCUAACUACGUG
rnacentral:rRNA from 1 species